rnacentral:lncRNA from 1 species
UUAACCACAAAAGCAGAAUAUAUUAAACUGAAAGGCUUUUUCUACAGAGUAAGUGUCAAAAAGGAUUCUUGCGGAGUGAAGGUUAGUGCUCACCAUCAAGUCGCCAGGUUCCAUAUACAACUUGUUGGUGCAGGCUUUCACUCUGCAUCUGAACCUUCAUCUAUCUUUCGGUCAUGGUCAUAUUUGAGUAUAAUUAGUUAGAACCACCAAGUGAGCUUUAAUUAACUCACAAGCUUAUAAAUAAACCAUAAGCUAUACUCAAACAUACUUUAGGAAAGUGAAAAAAAACAUGCAGGAUGAACAAUGCAACUAAUGUACCACGCCAAAUUUGUUUCAACGGGGAUCAGGCCAACCUUUACGGAACAGGGACCAGGUUGUUGUGCUAUAUCUUGCCAGUGGUCCUCAUUGGUAGUAGUGAUCAUUGUCAAAACGUCUGUUACUUGCAAGUUACUGCAAAAAGAAUUUCAUAUCAGCAUGUGCUUAUUGUUUCCCUUUUCUCAAUAUACAAACGUUGCUACAUGUGUCACGGUCUUUAGUUAAAUUUAUUAGGCCAAUUUGGCAUGAUACACCCAUUACGAAUUUCUACUAAAUUGUGUGAUCAAAAGAGCAGGGAAAUGAGGGACAAUACAAAGUAUAGAUUCUACAUUAGAUACAUAGAUCAAAUAAUGUAGUGAAUAGUUGCUGCACCUUACAAAUUCAGUAUCAACAGAGACCUAGUGCCGAAUGAAAGCUACACGAAGGACCUUCCGUACACAGAACAAUCACUAUUCGAGGUGACAUUGACACGUUAAUGAUUCCGAGCCUGCAAAUAAUAAUAUAAGAAUUAGUAUUUCACAUAGAAAGGGGAGAGUCAUAUAGGAACAUGUCUGGGUUUUUUACCGGAAGAAAAUAUUUGGUAUUGCCACGGAAAAAGAUCGAAAUAGCUAGCAUUUAAAGUUCAAACUUAAAAAAGGUAGCAUUUAGUUUAAACAUGAGUAUUGUUGUGAUUCCUAAAUUAAUGUGGCUUCAUUCUAUUAGUAUCUUGGGUAUGUGUGAGAAAUAUUUAGUAUGAAAAGACAACAGAUAAAUGACAAAAAAAGAGUAUUAUUAAAUUCAAAUGCAUACCUUAUAUAUUGAAAUAGGACUGAAGAAACAAUAUGCCCUUUAUAAUAUAAACGUGUAUGUUGUGCCACUUGUAGAGGCACUAAGCUCAAUUUUUCCUGGCAAUAAAGCUAGCACCACUUCUCCCUAAACAGAUUCGCAUAUAUAAAAGAAUCGGGCUAAUGACAGGAUAUUUCUUCUUUGAUCUCAUCAAGUGGAUGUUCAUUUUCUAGCUGUAUCCAAAGGAUUGUAAUGAAUGUGUAUCUAGAAGCUAGACUGUAAGUAAUGGUGACAUGUACUGGUCCGGGAAAUCAGUUCAAACUGCAGGUGUACGAAUUCAACAUAUCAAUAUGAAUUGACAUGUUAAAAACAUAUUGCUUGAGCAGUGAGCGUGGCAGCUAGUUCUUCAAUCUUUUCUGAAUACUCACCGAGCUUAGCUUUUGAAACGCUGAAUCAAGAAGAAAACUCAUGAUUGAAAUUGAAACACUGAAUCAAGAAACAAACUCAUACAUGAACAUGUUCUUAUCAUGGGGAAAUACACAUAAACAUGAGAAGGUAAUUUCCUUUGCUCCAUGCAUUACUAUGACCAGACAUUCUCAUCAUCAAAAUGCAAGGUAAUAAAUGGAAGAAGGCCAUCAAAAAUUUAUUUUGGACCUCAUACGGUUUAUUUUGUCAAGUAAGAAGUGUAUAUUUACAUAUACACAAUUACACAGUUCAGAUUUUCAUGAACAGUUUGCUAAUAAAUCCAGAAGUGAAAGAGUAACCAGAUUUCUUUAAGGGUGCAUCAGUUAGUUUACACUCAGACCAUGACCAAAAUAAAGAUACUCAACGUUAAAAUGCACCCUGGCAGUCUGGGAGAAAGAGAUUCCUCUCUGGGGUCGUGGCCAGGGGUACGACUAUUGUCGUGCCGAUAACCAGUCAAGAUGAGCUGCUUGAGAAACAUAUAAAAGAACAGGGCACCAACACAGAGUAAGCUUCCUUUGCACUCUUAUGUUUGUAAAUACACAACACCCAUGAUGGUGUCUCUGUAGGUCUCUCGUUUGCACAAAAAUUAUGAGGCCCAGAUGCUUAUUUCACUCCUUUCUUAACCUCAAUUAGACUUCUUUUAUCCAAAGUUAGGAGUGUACAGAUAUGAUAGGACGCGAUCCGGCGAGAGGUUUCUGCCUGCGAAGUAGUGCCAUCAAGAUGGCGCAACAAGAUGUCACCGCGAUGCGGACCUACAUGACUGCAUUAGAGUAAUCUGCGACGAAGUCAAGAUCCUCCCCCAAAAAAACAUGCCUCGGACAAAAAAUUGUGGGAGCGCUGCUCUAUUUUGCACCUGCUAUCAAGUAGCUGGUGUGUCUCCGGCAUAAGGACAUGGAAGGAGAGUUUGGUCGGGGAAUGCUGAGCAGAGCAAGCCUCCAAAGCGUGGCGCCGGGGAAGGAGUUGAACAUAUGUAUUUUACAACAGUUCAAUUUUGAAUUAAAACAUCGUCACUUAUUUCCGGAAGGAGAGAGUAAUCGUUAAUGUUCUGUACAUUAUUGCACUUUGAAUCAAAUCGAACGAGACGUGUGCUACAGUAUUUAAAGUUACUUUCACCCUUAUACUUAUAAACAAGAGUCUGCAAUCUUAUGUCCUGAAAGGAGAAUCAAAAGAGGAGAAGGACAUAUUACCAGAGCUCUUAGAUCCUUGAUGACAAAUCCUUAUUGUCUCUGAUAAACUUGUGUUCUCCAAUUUUAGUCCAACACUAUGAACUAUCUCAUCAUACAGUUUGGAUAAACAAUACAUUUUUUUUUUCGCUUUUGAAUAUGCUUGGAGAGGAAAACUGCUUGUUGCUAUUUAUGAAGAAUGGAAAUUGGUUAUGUAAUGAUAAAGUGGUAGCACAUAAUACCUCCACCACAAGGAUUUUUAUCUGCAAGACAUCCGCGGAAUGUAAUCUGACAUUGUAUCCCCUGAAUUUGUCACUGUAUUAGUAAU